CUAAGACUGAGUGGCCUAGACUGGUGACUGUCUCAAACUUGCAGUGUCAGCCUUCAGAGUCAUCCCUCUAUCUCUACAUGACAGAUUCUCCAUAGCCCUUCUGCUCCACUCUUGCUUACUUUGCUUCAAAGUAAGGGAGUGGGGAUGUAAGGGUGGAGUGGAAAGAGCACAAGGCAAUGUUCUGCUCAUGCCCAGUACAGAAACCACCACCUGUGAGCCCUGUGAAAUCUUCUGCUUUCUCAGUAGAUUCAGAUUCCAUAGAAAAGGAAAGUACUGAAGAGUUCCGGAAAACACAUUGCUGCCAAAGUUGACUGGGGCAGCGGGAACACCUACCCGCCAAUGUCAUGUGUAAGGCAAAAUAAAGGCAGCGACUGUUUAUCGUCUUUGUUUGUU
rnacentral:lncRNA from 12 species